GGCCUUGACAUACUAAGAACUUUCCAGAGAUGGAUUGGUGCCUUCGGGAACUUAGAUACAGGUGCUGCAUGGCUGUCGUCAGCUCGUGUCGUGAGAUGUUGGGUUAAGUCCCGCAACGAGCGCAACCUUUUCCUUAUUUGCCAGCGGGUCAUGCCGGGAACUUUAAGGAUACUGCCAGUGACAAACUGGGAGGAAGGCGGGGACGACGUCAAGUCAUCAUGGCCCUUACGGCCAGGGCUACACACGUGCUACAAUGGUCGGUACAAAGGGUUGCUACCUCGCGAGAGGAUGCUAAUCUCAAAAAGCCGAUCGUAGUCCGGAUCGCAGUCUGCAACUCGACUGCGUGAAGUCGGAAUCGCUAGUAAUCGCGGAUCAGAAUGCCGCGGUGAAUACGUUCCCGGGCCUUGUACACACCGCCCGUCACACCAUGGGAGUUUGUUGCACCAGAAGUAGGUAGUCUAACCGCAAGGAGGACGCUUACCACGGUGUGGCCGAUGACUGGGGUGAAGUCGUAACAAGGUAAGCGUAGAUGA
rnacentral:rRNA from 1 species